UACGGAGGGUGCAAGCGUUGUUCGGAAUCACUGGGCGUAAAGCGCGUGUAGGCGGCCUUCUUAGUCUGGUGUGAAAGCCCGGGGCUCACCCCCGGAAGUGCAUUGGAUACUGGAAGGCUGGAGUACCGGAGAGGAGGGUGGAAUUCCUGGUGUAGCGGUGAAAUGCGUAGAUAUCAGGAGGAACACCGGUGGCGAAGGCGGCCCUCUGGACGGAUACUGACGCUGAGACGCGACAGCGUGGGGAGCAAACAGG
rnacentral:rRNA from 1 species